CCUAGGCCUGGACAAUAAUUCGAUAUCGGUAUUUAUCGCGAUAAGAAAUGUUUCAAUAACGGUGAUAUCAUUUUUGUGGUAUAUCGAUAUGUAUUAUUUACAGAUCUGUCACGGACAUGCGAUUUACUGGCGUCAGCUCGCCGCAGAUGAACACAAUCAGCUUCCGUAGCUGGACUAUCUCUGUGCGUGAUGACGUAAUCACAUAGGCACGUAGCCAGAUAGGCUAGGCUAGGCUAGAUUUGGCUAGGCUAGGCUAGGCUCGGGUCCGCUACGCAUCUAAAAUGCCUCGCGCUGGAGCCAAACGGAGCCGGGACGAGCGGAUCCAAGGUUAAGGUAGGCUCGGUUUGCAUCUGAAAUGUUCCGCGCUGGAGUGGAACGGUAAGGAACCGAGCCUAGCCUAGCCUCGGGUCCGCCUACGGGUUCGCUCGGUCCGCCUACGGGUCCGCUCGGUCCGCCUCUGGUUCGCUCGGUCCGCCCACGGGUCCGCUCGGUCAGCGGCCAGUUGCGGGUCCUCUUUGUCAGCCGCGGGUCCUCUUGGCUCCCAGCGCGGGACAUUUUUGAUGCAAAAUGAAUGCCCCUGCCGCUUCCACAAGUGAUCAAUUGAAGGAAGGAGGUCUAAUUCAGUGGUGAGGAUUUGGUUCGACUCUCGGAAGGUCUGCUAAACUUCAGUUUGCUGCAAAUUGUGCCGGAGAGUGGAGCCGACCAGCAGCGCCAACCCACUCGUUAGGACUCCCCCUAUCACUAGUAAUGCCCCAACACACCAGGAGGAUGAAGACUAGCACACUCUUUCUCCGAUACAUGUGAAGUCAGCCACCGCUUCUUUUCGAGCUGCUGCUGAUGCAGCAUUGCCAAGGAGCCAGCACAUUUGGAGGAAAGCGCAGCGGCAGGUGAACCCGAGGAACCUGAGGAAAGUGGUGGGAAAUCUCGAGCCAGGGCGCACGGGUACGAUGGUGUGUACAUGGUUGAUUGACAGCGUUUAGUUUGAGAGUGCGCAGGUGUGGGAAAGGGCAAUGGCAGUGAUCUGAAGGUGCGGAUCAUAGUGAAAAGAGAGCAGGUGUUCCAGUGUGUCUGUGCCACGCAGACGAACUGUAGGCUGUUCCCAGAUACUGAAAACAAUGCCGUGGUGAUCAGCUUUCAGGAAGGGCCAGUGGUUUGUGGUGAUGUUAAGGUCAUGUUUGAAUCCAGGGCUGGUCUUCCAAAGGGGUAUGAGGACUAUCCUUUCUAUUUCUGGUUCAACACUUCAUUUGUAGAGAACAACAGGCUCUAUCUGUCAAGGGAGGAACUGGACAACCCACGUAAGUCCAAAACCUGGGACAUCUACAAGGAGGACUUUGGUGUGACCGUGUCUUUCAGUGACCCUGCACUUAUGUAGCAGACGACACUUGCUUGUGUAUCUCAACUAAAACCCUUAAGCCCUGCACAAGGUCUAAAUCUUUGCUCUAAUGUAGGUUUUCACACACUUAUAAAAGGUGAGUGAUGUUUAGGGAUUGGAUUCGGGCAUAUUGUGCCCCUAAAGCUAUAGCUAUAUAACCUCAACUUUAUGUCCAUCCCCCAUCUUCACUGUAAGAGCUUUUUACUGAGCCGUGCAUACACCACAAUAUUAUGCAUUUGUUUGUCAAAUGUUUUUUUUUGUCUUUAAAUGAAGACAAAUGUUUGUGUCAGUUUAGCAUAUUAAGCCUCCAAAAUGUAAAUCUUACUCUUUAAGCUUGAGUGUACAUCAAAUAAAGCAAUCGAGGCUGCCACUGUGAAAUGGUCAAUGGUUAUGUGUGCAGAAACAUGUUUUUGUAGUACACAUGUAUUGAAAUAAAUACUAAUGUCUCUGUAA